UACGUAGGGUGCGAGCGUUGUCCGGAAUUACUGGGCGUAAAGAGCUCGUAGGUGGUUUGUCACGUCGUCUGUGAAAUUCCGGGGCUUAACCUCGGGCGUGCAGGCGAUACGGGCAAUACUUGAGUGCUGUAGGGGAGACUGGAAUUCCUGGUGUAGCGGUGAUAUGCGCAGAUAUCAGGAGGAACACCAAUGGCGAAGGCAGGUCUCUGGGCAGUUACUGACGCUGAGGAGCGAAAGCAUGGGUAGCGAACAGGAUUAGA
rnacentral:rRNA from 1 species